UGCUAGGGCAGCAAUGCCUAUAACAUUUGUAGCAUAAACAGUGUAGGUUGGUAUUAAUAGGGUAUGAGAGUUCGAUGAGACAGUUUGCUAAGAGUGUGCCCACUCUAAACAAUGAGUAACUAUGGUAACCAAAUAGCAAUAUUGGUUGGCAGGGUUUUAAAGAGUUGCGAUGCCUCAGGCUGGAAACAGAACAGGGAAACAGCGCCGCUUAUUGUGGUGGAGGGAUUACAUACUCAUUAACUGUCGAGCUUAUCGCUCUAUUAUAUCGAUCUGACACUGCUUUC
rfam:Ichthyophthirius multifiliis unplaced genomic scaffold scaff_1120509250827, whole genome shotgun sequence.